rnacentral:rRNA from 1 species
UCUGCAACUCGACUGCACGAAGCUGGAAUCGCUAGUAAUCGCGGAUCAGCACGCCGCGGUGAAUACGUUCCCGGGCCUUGUACACACCGCCCGUCACACCAUGGAAGUCUGCAAUGCCCGAAGCCGGUGGCCUAACCACUUAUGUGGAAGGAGCCGUCUAAGGCAGGGCAGAUGACUGGGGUGAAGUCGUAACAAGGUAGC